rnacentral:rRNA from 1 species
GAUAAACGCUAGCGGCAGGCUUAACACAUGCAAGUCGAGGGGCAGCAUAGAUUGUAGCAAUACAAUUGGUGGCGACCGGCGCACGGGUGCGUAACGCGUAUGCAACCUACCCGUCACAGGGGGAUAAUCUGGAGAAAUCUGGUCUAAUACCCCAUAACAUAUGGAUCGGCAUCGGUUCAUGUUGAAAUUUUCGGAGGUGACGGAUGGGCAUGCGUAGCAUUAGCUUGUUGGUGAGGUAACGGCUCACCAAGGCGGCGAUGCUUAGGGGGACUGAGAGGUUUUCCCCCCACACUGGUACUGAGACACGGACCAGACUCCUACGGGAGGCAGCAGUGAGGAAUAUUGGUCAAUGGGCGCAAGCCUGAACCAGCCAUGCCGCGUGCAGGAUGACGGCUCUAUGAGUUGUAAACUGCUUUUGUACGAGGGUAAAGUGGGUUACGUGUAACCUUUUGAAAGUAUCGUACGAAUAAGGAUCGGCUAACUCCGUGCCAGCCGCCGCAGUAA